AACUAAGUUUGCUAUUGGUAUGAGCUUUCAUGUGCAUGCGCACCUCUUCAGAUACCUGAAGAUCAUCUGAAGAAGUGUGCAUGCACAUGAAAGCUCAUACCAAUAACAAACUUAGUUGG